rnacentral:rRNA from 1 species
UGAGGAAUAUUGGUCAAUGGGCGGAAGCCUGAACCAGCCAUGCCGCGUGCAGGACGACGGCCCUACGGGUUGUAAACUGCUUUUCCGGGGGAAGAAUAACCCCCCUGCGGGGGGGGAUGCCGGUACCCCGGGAAUAAGGAUCGGCUAACUCCGUGCCAGCAGCCGCGGUAAUACGGAGGAUCCUAGCGUUAUCCGGAUUUACUGGGUUUAAAGGGUGCGUAGGCGGGCGUUUAAGUCCGCGGUGAAAGUCUGCGGCUCAACCGUAGGAUUGCCGUGGAUACUGGACGUCUUGGAUUCGGUCGGGGCGGGCGGAAUGCGUGGUGUAGCGGUGAAAUGCAUAGAUAUCACGCAGAACGCCGAUAGCGAAGGCAGCUCGCCGGGCCGAAAUCGACGCUGAGG